rnacentral:lncRNA from 1 species
UUUUUUUUUCCUUUUUGUUCUUCCCAAAUUCGUUUGCAUGCAAGCUUGGAUUUUUACGUUCUUGUUCCAGAUCAAACCAAACUACGUCCAAGUCGAGAAUGAUUCCGUCCAAAAGGGCCUUUUGAAGUCCAUCCAUGCACUGGAAAUCCAAAAGCUUGUUCUAGGAAGCGCUGGACGCACUGGCCUCACACGGUAAAAAAAAUGUAGAACAAACCUUCGCAAAACUUACAGGAUCGUGUUCUUCUUCUCCUCCUCCAGGAAGCUCUCUGGCCCAGGAACCGGAGAAUACGUCGCCGCUCGAGCGCCAAGCUUUUGCUCCGUCUGUGUGAUCGCCAAGGACAAGCUCCUCCCGAUCAAAGCUCUGGACGAUUCCCGGUCGAUCUCGUCCGCCUCUUCGCGAACCUCCGACUCGGAGCGAUCGUCGAGCUCGUCCUCCCAAGGUAGCGUUUUGCCUUCGUUCUUGCGGAAGCGUAGAGCGAGAAACGUGUCUUUGGAUCUAGCAGACUUGGACUCUCAUCCGCCUGCCCGUUUGCAUGGUUUGCCAGAAGGCCUUGGACAGAUGUGGAACGUCGGCUUCCUCUCGCGCUUUCUCUCCUCCGGAUCCCCCACCACCCGGCAGCAAGCUGUUCUAGCGUCCAGUCCUCCUCCGGAGAAUGCUCCGCUCGACGAGAUAAGUGGCGCCCGGGUCUUUGCUUCUCCGUUUCGUGAUCGAACAGGCGCGUCCUCGGAAGAGAUUGAGAUUGUGGAGCUCGGUGACGGUGCUGCUAGUGGAAGGAUGGCGCUG